rnacentral:rRNA from 1 species
CUACGGGUUGCUCCAGUGGGGAAUAUUGCACAAUGGGCGCAAGCCUGAUGCAGCCAUGCCGCGUGUAUGAAGAAGGCCUUCGGGUUGUAAAGUACUUUCAGCGGGGAGGAAGGGAGUAAAGUUAAUACCUUUGCUCAUUGACGUUACCCGCAGAAGAAGCACCGGCUAACUCCGUGCCAGCAGCCGCGGUAAUACGGAGGUGCAAGCGUUAAUCGGAAUUACGGGGCGUAAAGCGCACGCAGGCGGUUUGUUAAGUCCGAUGUGAAAUCCCCGGGCGUCAACCUGGGAACUGCAUCUGAUACUGGCGAGCUUGAGUGUCGUAGAGGGGGGUAGAAUUCCAGGUGUAGCGGUGAAAUGCGUAGAGAUCUGGAGGAAUACCGGUGGCGAAGGCGGCCCCCUGGACGAAGACUGACGCUCAGGUGCGAAAGCGUGGGGAGCAAACAGGAUUAGAUACCCCCGUAGUC